UCCCAGGUGGCUUAGUGGUAAAGAGUCCGCCUGCCAAGCAGAAGAUGCAGGUUCAAUCCCUGGGUCAGGAA
rnacentral:tRNA from 1 species